UAGGGAAUAUUGGACAAUGGGGGCAACCCUGAUCCAGCCAUGCCGCGUGUGUGAAGAAGGCCCUCGGGUUGUAAAGCACUUUCAGUAGGGAGGAAGGCUCGGCUGCUAAUAUCAGCCGGGAUUGACGUUACCUACAGAAGCAGCACCGGCUAACUCCGUGCCAGCAGCCGCGGUAAUACGGAGGGUGCAAGCGUUAAUCGGAAUUACUGGGCGUAAAGCGCGCGUAGGCGGUUUGGUAAGUCGGAUGUGAAAGCCCUGGGCUCAACCUGGGAACUGCAUCCGAUACUGCCAGGCUAGAGUACGGUAGAGGGGGGUAGAAUUCCACGUGUAGCGGUGAAAUGCGUAGAGAUGUGGAGGAAUACCAGUGGCGAAGGCGGCCCCCUGGAUCGAUACUGACGCUGAGGUGCGAAAGCGUGGGGAGCAAACAGG
rnacentral:rRNA from 1 species